GGCAGCAGCCGCGGUAACACCGGCGGCCCGAGUGGUGAUCGUGAUUAUUGGGUCUAAAGGGUCCGUAGCCGGUUUGGUCAGUCCUCCGGGAAAUCUGAUAGCUCAACUAUUAGGCUUUCGGGGGAUACUGCCAGACUUGGAACCGGGAGAGGUAAGAGGUACUACAGGGGCAGGAGUGAAAUCUUGUAAUCCCUGUGGGACCACCUGUGGCGAAGGCGUCUUACCAGAACGGGUUCGACGGUGAGGGACGAAAGCUGGGGGCACGAACCGGAUUAGAUACCCGGGUAGUCCCAGCCGUAAACGAUGCUCGCUAGGUGUCAGGCAUGGCGCGACCGUGUCUGGUGCCGCAGGGAAACCGUGAAGCGAGCCACCUGGGAAGUACGGCCGCAAGGCUGAAACUUAAAGGAAUUGGCGGGGGAGCACAACAACGGGUGGAGCCCUGCGGUUUAAUUGGACUCAACGCCGGACAACUCACCGGGGGCGACAGCAAUAUGUAGGCCAAGCUGAAGACUUUGCCUGAAUCGCUGAGAGGUGGUGCAUGG
rnacentral:rRNA from 1 species